rnacentral:rRNA from 1 species
AGGACGAACGCUGGCGGCGUGCCUAACACAUGCAAGUCGAGCGAGAGCCUGGAAGCUUGCUUCCAGGGGACAGCGGCGAACGGGUGCGUAACACGUGGGCAACCUGCCCCUCUCUCUGGGAUAACCCCGGGAAACCGGAGCUAAUGCCGGAUACUCCGUCUGGAUCUCAUGGUCCGGCCGGGAAAGGUCCGCCGGAGAGGGAUGGGCCCGCGGCCUAUCAGCUUGUUGGUGGGGUAACGGCUCACCAAGGCUACGACGGGUAGCUGGUCUGAGAGGAUGACCAGCCACAUUGGGACUGAGACACGGCCCAGACUCCUACGGGAGGCAGCAGUAGGGAAUCUUGGGCAAUGGGCGAAAGCCUGAUCCAGCCAUGCCGCGUGAGUGAAGAAGGCCUUAGGGUUGUAAAGCUCUUUUGGCGGGACGAUAAUGACGGUACCGCAGAAUAAGCCCGGCUAACUUCGUGCCAGCAGCCGAC